AUUGAACGCUGGCGGCAGGCCUAACACAUGCAAGUCGAGCGGAUGAAGGGAGCUUGCUCCUGGAUUCAGCGGCGGACGGGUGAGUAAUGCCUAGGAAUCUGCCUGGUAGUGGGGGAUAACGUCCGGAAACGGGCGCUAAUACCGCAUACGUCCUGAGGGAGAAAGUGGGGGAUCUUCGGACCUCACGCUAUCAGAUGAGCCUAGGUCGGAUUAGCUAGUUGGUGGGGUAAAGGCCUACCAAGGCGACGAUCCGUAACUGGUCUGAGAGGAUGAUCAGUCACGAAGGAACUGAAAAUGGGUGCAACGGUCGGCAAGAGCUGGCCUAGGGAGAUGUCGGACAAUGGGCAAAGGAGUGAUUCAGUCGUGGAGAGUGUAUAAGGGAGGUCUUCGGAUUGUGAAGCAGUUUAAGUUGGGCGAAAAGGAAGUAAGUUAUCACCUGGCAGGUUUGACAUUACCAAGAGAGUAAGCACAGGGUAACUGCGUG
rnacentral:rRNA from 1 species